UACGUAGGGCGCAAGCGUUAUCCGGAAUUAUUGGGCGUAAAGAGCUCGUAGGCGGUUUGUCGCGUCUGCUGUGAAAACCUAAGGCUCAACCUUGGGCUUGCAGUGGGUACGGGCAGACUAGAGUGCGGUAGGGGUGACUGGAAUUCCUGGUGUAGCGGUGGAAUGCGCAGAUAUCAGGAGGAAUACCGAUGGCGAAGGCAGGUCACUGGGCCGCAACUGACGCUGAGGAGCGAAAGCGUGGGGAGCGAUCCGG
rnacentral:rRNA from 1 species